rnacentral:tRNA from 1 species
AUUUCCAUAGCUUAAAAAGAGCAUAACACUGAAGAUGUUAAGGUGAAUUCUUUCUGGGAAUA